rnacentral:rRNA from 1 species
GUAUGCAACCUACCUUAAUCAGGGGGAUAGCCCGAAGAAAUUCGGAUUAACACCGCAUAAAAACACAGAAUAGCAUUAUUCAAUGUUCAAAUAUUUAUAGGAUUAAGAUGGGCAUGCGUGUCAUUAGCUAGUUGGCGGGGUAACGGCCCACCGAGGCGACGAUGACUAGGGGAUCUGAGAGGAUGACCCCCCACACUGGUACUGAGACACGGACCANACUCCUACGGGAGGCANCANUAAGGAAUAUUGGUCAAUGGAGGCAACUCUGAACCAGCCAUGCCGCGUGCAGGAANACGGCCCUAUGGGUUGU